UACGUGGGGGGCAAGCGUUGUUCGGAAUUACUGGGCGUAAAGAGCGCGUAGGCGGCGCAGCAAGUCACUUGUGAAAUCUCCGGGCUUAACUCGGAAAGGUCAACUGAUACUGUGCGACUAGAGUGCAGAAGGGGCAACUGGAAUUCUCGGUGUAGCGGUGAAAUGCGUAGAUAUCGAGAGGAACACCUGCGGCGAAGGCGGGUUGCUGGGCUGACACUGACGCUGAGGCGCGAAAGCCAGGGGAGCGAACGGG
rnacentral:rRNA from 1 species